AGAAUCAACGCUGGCGGCGUGCCUAACACAUGCAAGUCGAACGAGAAAGGGUAGCAAUACCUGAGUAAAGUGGCGCACGGGUGAGUAACACGUGACUAACCUACCUUUUUAGUGGGGGAUAACCUAGGGAAACCUGGGCUAAUACCGCAUAAUACCUACGGGUCAAAGCAGCAAUGCGCUGAAUGAGGGGGUCGCGGUCGAUUAGUUAGUUGGCAGGGUAAUGGCCUACCAAGCUGUGAUCGAUA
rnacentral:rRNA from 1 species